rnacentral:lncRNA from 1 species
CGCCUCCCCGCCUCCCCUGCCGCAGCCGCCUCCCGCCCCGCGCGCUCCCCGCCCCCUCCUCUGCGGCCCGGGGUUCGGGAGGCGUCGCCGCGGCGGCGGGCGCUGCCCACGGUGGGGAGGACCGCCCGCCCGCCAGCUCCCUGCCUGGCCCGAGACCCACCUGUCUGCCUCCCGCGCAGCCGCCUCCCCACCUCCGCCGGCGGCUGCCAUUCGCCUGCCUUGUCUCUCCCUCUCCCCUGGACCUUUCAUCUGGGCUUUUUCCAUUCCGUUCUUCUUCCUUUUAAUUCCUUCCUUCCUAAUUGGCCCCCUCUGGCUUUCCUCCCUGUGGACAGCUGGGGUCUUGCGACUGUGGAAAAACCUGAAACAAACUGUGCUCAGUUUACACAGAAGAGCCUUCCCUUCAGUUUCCACCGCCACUGCAGUGGUAGUGGCAGGCUUCUCUGGGUGGCACGUGGAAGUGUUUGGAGCUGAAGCAAAAGUGCAGAACUGUGGAGAUCAGUCAGGGGCCCAUUACAAUAUUCCAGGUGAGCUCAGCGUUUGCUGA